rnacentral:rRNA from 1 species
AUUGAACGCUGGCGGCAGGCCUAACACAUGCAAGUCGAGCGGAUGAAGGGAGCUUGCUCCUGGAUUCAGCGGCGGACGGGUGAGUAAUGCCUAGGAAUCUGCCUGGUAGUAGGGGAUAACGUCCGGAAACGGGCGCAAAUACCGCAUACGUCCUGAGGGAGAAAGUGGGGGAUCUUCGGACCUCACGCUAUCAGAUGAGCCUAGGUCGGAUUAGCUAGUUGGUGGGGUAAAGGCCUACCAAGGCGACGAUCCGUAACUGGUCUGAGAGGAUGAUCAGUCACACUGGAACUGAGACACGGUCCAGACUCCUACGGGAGGCAGCAGUGGGGAAUAUUGGACAAUGGGCGAAAGCCUGAUCCAGCCAUGCCGCGUGUGUGAAGAAGGUCUUCGGAUUGUAAAGCACUUUAAGUUGGGAGGAAGGGCGGUAAGUUAAUACCUUGCUGUUUUGACGUUACCAACAGAAUAAGCACCGGCUAACUUCGUG